rnacentral:rRNA from 1 species
GACGAACGCUGGCGGCGUGCUUAACACAUGCAAGUCGAACGGAAAGGCCCUGCUUUUGUGGGGUGCUCGAGUGGCGAACGGGUGAGUAACACGUAAGUAACCUGCCCUUGACUUUGGGAUAACUUCAGGAAACUGGGGCUAAUACCGGAUACGAGCUCCCGCCGCAUGGAGGGGGGUGGAAAGUUUCGGCGGUUGGGGAUGGACUCGCGGCGUAUCAGCUUGUUGGUGGGGUGGCUUACCAAGGCUUUGACGGGUAGCCGGCCUGAGAGGGUGACCGGCCACAUUGGGACUGAGAUACGGCCCAGACUCCUACGGGAGGCAGCAGUGGGGAAUAUUGCACAAUGGGCGGAAGCCUGAUGCAGCAACGCCGCGUGCGGGAUGACGGCCUUCGGGUUGUAAACCGCUUUCGCCUGUGACGAAGCGUGAGUGACGGUAAUGGGUAAAGAAGCACCGGCUAACUACGUG